GAGUUUGAUCGUGGCUCAGGAUGAACGCUGGCGGCGUGCCUAACACAUGCAAGUCGAACGGAGUUUAUGAGGAAGAAGCUUCGGCGGAAUUCUUAUAAACUUAGUGGCGGACGGGUGAGUAACACGUGGAGAACCUGCCUCUUACCGGGGGACAGCAGUUGGAAACGACUGAUAAUACCGCAUAAGCGCACGAGACCGCAUGGUCCUGUGUGAAAAGAUUUAUCGGUAAGAGAUGGCCCCGCGUCUGAUUAGCCAGUUGGCGGGGUAACGGCCCACCAAAGCGACGAUCAGUAGCCGGCCUGAGAGGGUGAACGGCCACAUUGGGACUGAGACACGGCCCAGACUCCUACGGGAGGCAGCAGUGGGGGAUAUUGCACAAUGGAGGAAACUCUGAUGCAGCGACGCCGCGUGAGUGAAGAAGUAUUUCGGUAUGUAAAGCUCUAUCAGCAGGGAAGAAAGACCUCGAGAGAGGGGAUGACGGUACCUGAGUAAGAAGCCCGGCUAACUACGUGCCAGCA
rnacentral:rRNA from 1 species